UACGAAGGGGGCUAGCGUUGCUCGGAAUCACUGGGCGUAAAGGGUGCGUAGGCGGGUCUUUAAGUCCGGGGUGAAAUCCUGGAGCUCAACUCCAGAACUGCCUUUGAUACUGAAGAUCUUGAGUCCGGGAGAGGUGAGUGGAACUGCGAGUGUAGAGGUGAAAUUCGUAGAUAUUCGCAAGAACACCAGUGGCGAAGGCGGCUCACUGGCCCGAUACUGACGCUGAGGCACGAAAGCGUGGGGAGCAAACAGG
rnacentral:rRNA from 1 species